rnacentral:rRNA from 1 species
GUCUACCGCCAUACCACCCCAAACAUACCUAAUCUCCCAAUCUGAGAAGCUAAACUGGGUUAGGGCUGGUUAGUACUUGGAUGGGAGUUUCACAAACAUUUAACUAAGCUUCUGUUCUUA